CCAGAUCACAGUAUUAAUAGCAGUACUAUAUUUGUAGAUCACAGUAUCAAUAGCAGUAUUAUCAUUCCAGAUCACAGUAUCAAUAGCAGUAUUAUCAUUGUAGAUCACAGUAUUAAUAGCAGUAUUAUCAUUGUAGAUCACAGUAUUAAUAGCAGUAUUAUCAUUGUAGAUCACAGUAUCAAUAGCAGUUUAUCAUUGUAGGAUCACAGUCAUUUAAUAGCAGUAUUCAGUCAAAUAUAGUAAUAGCAGUCACCCCACCACCUGUUGAAUAAAACAGCAGUCACCCACCACCUGUUGAAUAAACAGCAGUCACCCCCCCACCUGUUGAAUAAACCGCAGUUCACCCCUCCACUGUUGAAUCAAACAGCAGUCACCCCUACACCUGUUGAAUAAA
rnacentral:lncRNA from 1 species